GACGUAGGAGGCGAGCGUUAUCCGGAUUCACUGGGCGUAAAGCGCAAGUAGGCGGUUGUGAAAGUCCGUUGUUAAAGCCCCUGGCUCAACUGGGGGAGGUCAAUGGAGACUUUAUGACUUGAGGGCAACAGAGGCAUGUGGAACUCCCGGUGUAGCGGUGGAAUGCGCAGAUAUCAGGAAGAACACCAAUGGCGAAGGCAGCUCUCUGGGACGGUACUGACGCUGAGACGUGAAAGCGUGGGGAGCGAACAGG
rnacentral:rRNA from 1 species